rnacentral:rRNA from 1 species
CAACGAAUAUUCCGCAAUGGGCGAAAGCCUGACGGAGCGACGCCGCGUACGGGAUGAAGUCCUUCGGGAUGUAAACCGUAAUAGUCUGUGAGCAAGCAACUCGGGCUAAUAUCCCGGGAAGUUGAGCAAUAGACGAAAGGGACGGCUAACUCCGUGCCAGCAGCCGCGGUAAGACGGAGGUCCCAAGCGUUGUUCGGAAUCACUGGGCUUAAAGGGCGUGUAGGCGGGUCGGUGCGUACCGUGUGAAAUCCCUUGGCUCAACCAAGGAACCGCUCGGUAUACGAUCGGUCUUGAGGCAGGUAGAGGCGCCUGGAACCUUAGGUGGAGCGGUGAAAUGCGUAGAUAUCUAAGGGAACGCCGGUGGCGAAAGCGGGGCGCUGGGGCCUGUCCUGACGCUGA